rnacentral:lncRNA from 1 species
UACUUCCGUUUGUAUUGAUUUAGCCUUUCCGGUUGCUUACUCAGUUGAGCAUAGAGGCAAAGAUGGUGAGUUAAGAUAUAUCUUUUAAUUUAUCUAUGAAUUCUCAAGCAUCUGUCUAUAAAAUAUCUCUUUUUUUAUAAAUUAAUAUUUAACAAUUAAGAAUUUGUAGCUAUUUUAGAAAUUUUGUUUGAAUUUCAUUAGACUUUGCUCAGAUAUAUAUUGCAUUUUCCCCACGAGAUAGUUUAUUACGUUUGUACUUUGUUGUAAAUUAAUUUAUAAAUCUAGGAAAAAAUUUUUCAUUCCUCGAAUUAUUUCAUUUUCUGAUGUAAAAUAGACUGCUGAACAAUUAUACAUUAUCAUCACGCUAUUUUAUACAAAGUUUAAAGGAAUAUAUUUUUGUACCCCAUGCUUUCAUAUUGCGAAUUAAUAUCUAUGUAUACCGGUUGUCGCCUCGACGAACUUUUAAGACUAUUUACUAAGUAUGGAUCCUCGUCCGACUUACUUAAUAAUGUUUUGCAUGUUUCUACUAUAUAUAUAACUUAAUCUAUCGGAAUUUGAUGGCUUAAGCUUGGCUCCAUCUAUCCAUUUAUACAUAUGAGAGUGAUGACCACUAUGUGGACAACCCUUAUGCUAGAAGUAGAUCCGCUAUGGUCUUACCACUAAUACCUAAUUAAUCUAUAUUUUUGUUGCUUUCUUUUGUCUUGCUCGAUUACGUUCUGGUGUUUACUAAAUUUUUUUGGAGAACAUUUCUAAGUGGUAAGUGCAUAGCGGAUCUACUUAUAGCAUAAGGGUCAUCCCUUUCAUGCAUAUAUAAUACAAUAUACUGAACCUUCAGAUUUUUAUAUGCUAGACCACUGGUGUGAAAUUGAUGUUAGUUAAUAUCUAAUUUCUCACCAUCAUUUUAAAUAUAUAUAUAUAUACAUAUAUAUAAAAGACGGUCCAAAUAACAAUGGAGCAAGGUUUUAGAAAGAUGGAUUAAUUUUUUAAAAAACAUGUCCUUACAAGUUAAUGGCUGGCAGAGGUGUGUGUGUAUUUGGGAAACACGUGGAAAUAGUUAUUUUGUUGCUAUCCGGUUUACCAAUGCCAUGUGCCAACAAACAACAAAUGCUACCAUAUGCAUACGUACGCGACUCGGUUUCUUGGUAUUAAGUUCCACGUCAACUUACUAUCAAGCAUAGUGCGUGUGUCGUAUUAAGGAGAAUUUAGCAGCCACAUGAAAAACUACUACUUUGACUCAACAGUAGUAACUUUACACUACAGCCUCUCCUGAUCAUCAGAAAAACCUGUUGAGAUAUUGAACGGUGAAUAGGUUGGUGUUAUGCCCAGUGGCCUGUGUGUAGCAGUAUCGUGGUCAACCGCUACAAUAGCAGUGAUGGUGCUAUGGGAAAAUGCAGAGACGUAAAACUUCUUGACUAGGUUAUGAAAGGUAAAAGAUAGCGUCCAACUGUAAAUGAAACAAAUGGAUAGAAAAAUAGGUUAAAAAUUGCUACUCAUGAGAGCACACAGUUACUGUUAAUGAACCUUCAAAAUAUAUUGUCUGUUUGAAAAAUAAUCAAAUGUAUUUUGAUAUUUCUGUAUAAAAAUUGAUAUGAUGUUUAUUGAUCGUGGUGAAGGAUAAAAGACCCUAGUAGAAUUUGAACUUGGAAUUGUAGGGUACUGGAUUAAACUGUGUCCUAAUCAGAUUUUUUUUAUUGAUGAAUGAAUGUCUGUGCUAUUGGCAACCAUCUCCGUAGUUGGGCUUUUUUUUUCUCCUUAUUUGUUUUGCAAAUUUGAACAAGUUGUUGAUGGUGUAAUAAUUUAGAAUUGCACUGAUUUGGAUAGAGUUGUGAUGAUAUGUUUUAGUUAUAUUUGAUGAUGAAAUUUUUAAACUAGUUCUGCUGCUGAUGUUUUAGUGAUGACAAGACUUGCUGAAAAUAUAUCUACAACAGUCACACAAUUCUAACUUGUAAAUUCAGGCCACUGCAAUCAGUUAACUAUUACUGUUUGAAUUUACCCUCAGUUCAUUUAUGUAAGAGUGAACAAAGAAACUAAGCCAAAAUGUGGGAAUGGGUUUUCAUUUAUAUGAAGGUAGGCUGUAGUGAAUCGUGUCUUGAUUUUCUGAAUAAAUGCACCAAUGAAAUAUCAAAUGCUGCUAUGCACAGGUAUUUCCUAACUGCUUUAAAUUGCGACAAAGUAAAUGUAAAACGUAUUUGAUGCAUGUUUUCUAUGCUGGCAUGGGUGGACUCUUUGACUUGAGCUAGAGAGCUGCACCAGGUUCCAGUCUGAUUUUGCCCCGGUUUCUAUGGCUGGAUGCCUCCUAACACCAACCGCUUUACAGAAUGUGCUGGAUGCUUUUUAUGUGGCUGUGUGGUCAGAAGUUUGUUUCCCUAGCCAAAUGGUUCCAGUUAACAGUCCCACUGUGUGGCACCUUGCGGGAGUGUCUUCUAUAGCUGACCAAAACCUUAUGGGUGAAUUUGGUAGAUGAAAUUGGAAAAGCCCAUUCUGUUUGUGUCUCUGUUUUGACAUUUUUGAUACUUGUAAAAUUCCAAUAUUCUAUGAGAAUGUCUGGCCACGGGGGAAAUAUUACUUAGAAACUGAAGCUUGGUUAUAGGACAGGCAUCCAGCUACAGAAAAUCUGCUGCAGUUAAACUCCAUCCAACCCAUACAAGCAUGUAAAAGUGGACAUUAACCCUUUGGUGUUCAGACUACUCUGAAUAUAGUGCUUAUUUUUUCACAAUGUUUCAAAUUAUCUGACAUUGCUUUGUUUUGAUGAUGAUUGUUUAUUUUUAGAAUAACAUUGUAGGGUGGUUGCAAGAGGCUAGGUAUGGCCAGUUUAGGUGGUGAUGGUGCUGUGCAGAACCUUGCAUGACUGAGGUGUGGGUAUUGCCAUGUGCAUGUGGAUUUCACUUUAUGAUCACACGGUUUCUAGUUGUAUUGCACUGCAUGACACUGUAGGCAAGUGCCAACAUUUAACGGCGAUGUUCCAUGCUUGGCAUGGCUUGGACAAGCAAAUGUGAUUUGGCCAAGAGAGCUGGAACAAAGACCUCAAUGCAUUUCUUUCAACAUUCUAACAGCUUAAUUGAUUCUGUAACAUCUGGCUGUCAGCCAAUGCCUCGUUAGUGAAAUAGGAUCACAUUCGCGAAAUAUUUGCUAGUGGAUUAUGAAUAAAGUUUAUUAAACCACAUGAAUUCUAUCAGCUCUGUGUUUCACAAAACUUAGUGUGUGGGAGCCUAGAAUCAUUGAGUGGUUUUGAAGGAAUAGUAAAGUUUCUUUGUUGUAGUUGUAUUUUAUGAUGAAACUUCAAAACUAGUUCUGCUGCUGAUGUUUUAGUGCUGAUUACAUUCUCUGAAAAUAUGACUACAACAAUCAUCAUUAUUUUUAUUAUGACAGUGAGCUGGUAGAAUCAUUAACAUGCUGGACGAAGUGGUUAACAGUAUUUCGCCCGUCACUGUGUUCUGAGUUCAAAUUCUGCUUAGGUCAACUUUUUUCAUCCUUUUGGGGUCAAUGUAAUUGGCUAGUGUCCCAUCCCCCCCAAUUUCAGGAUUGUUAUUAUUAUUAUACUGGUGUCUUUUUAAUAACUUUUUAGCAUUUAAACUUGCCAUAUCUGUCAUAAAUACUCUGCUUGGUUCAAACUGGUCAGAUCCAGCCUUUCACCUAAGCCUACAAUGCUAUCCUUAAAGUAAACAAUCGCAUCAGUGAAAUCUCAAAGCUAUGAGAUAAGCGCAUGAUUAAUUUACGGUAAUGUGACUAAAUAAGCAUUACAUUUGAUAGUGAUCUGAAUGCUAAAUGUUUAGGGAAUAUGUUGAAUGCCAUUUGUUCCUAGUCAGGUUCUUGUGGCAAAUUAUCCUUGAAGGUAAUUGGGUGUUAUUAAUAAUCUAGGUCUAAAUUUAAUUCCAUGCUGUUUCAAAAAAAUUCUGGAUUGUCACCAAACCUUUUCAUGUUUGAUAUUCAUAACUCACCCAUAAAGUGAAAUAGUAUCUUUUUGGUUUUGUAAACCCUUUCAGACAUUAUGUGCCUUGUGCUAGAUAUGAUCUUCAAAAGACUAUUGAUUAAAAAGAGAUCUGGUUGCUGUUUCUAUGUUGACCCUUUUGUUAACGUAUUUUUGUUGAAAUAUGCUGCGUUUGUUUCAGUUAUUCAGAAUAACAGAAUUUAGUGCUGUUUGGAACAAAUUAGCAUGUGGUUUGAUAAGAGAUCUUAAUUUAGAUCACAUUAAAACAUGACGCUUGUAUCACAGAAUCAAGGACUUCUCUGGUAGUCAUAGAAAUAACAGAUUUUGGCUUAGUGUGAAACAAUGUAAGGACUGCUGGAAUUUCUGAAAUACUCUUUUGUUACAAGAGAGUUUAUUUUAUUUGUUAGCUAAUUAUUUUGAAUUUUGCUGCAGUUAUAUUUGAUGAUGAAAUUUUAAAACUAGUUCUGCUACUGAUGUUUUAAUGAUGAAUUACUUCUGCUGAAUGUAUAACUGUAACAACCACAGCUUUUCCAGCUUCAUAUCUGUGUUUUUGUAGGUUCAAAUAGUUUAAGUUAAUUUAAAUUUCACUACUAGGCGUAGGAGUGGCUGUGUGGUAAGUAGCUUGCUUAUGAACCACAUGGUUCCAGGUUCAUUCCCACUGCAUGGCACCUUGGGCAAGUGUCUUCUACUAUAGCCUCGGGCCGAUUAAAGCCUUGUGAGUGGAUUUGGUAGACGGAAACUGAAAGAAGCCCAUCGUAUAUAUGUGUUUGUGUGUCUGUGUUUGUUCCCCCAGCGUCGCUUGAUGACCGAUGUUGGUGUGUUUACGUCCCUGUAACUUAGCGGUUCGGAAAAAAGGGACCUUUAAAAUAAGUCCUGGGGUCAAUUUGAUCGACUAAAGGCAGUGCUCCAGCAUGGCCACAGUCACAUGACUGAAACAAGUAAAAGAAAGAGAGAAUUCAUUUGCCUCUUCAAUGAAAACUUGGUAAAUGUAUGAGAGAUGAAUAGCUGAUGACUUCUCCAUUUAGCAUUUUUAUAUCAUUCAUUGUAUCAAAAUAGUCCAAGUUGCUCACCGUAGCCAUCUUCAUAGACCAUAAUCUACUUUUCCCUACUCAUCUUUUAUGUUUCUCUUUUUUUGUCACCUGUAAUUUGUUAAUUGCUUUUCUUACCUUGUAUAGGGUGCCCACAAGUCUUUUAGAACAAAAAUGAAGUUGGCGAAGAAAAUGAAACAGAAUCGCCCUGUCCCACAGUGGGUGAGAAUGAAGACUGGCAAUACGACGAGGUUAGUUUUCUAUAUAUUGUAUAAUGUUGCUUAUGUAACAUAUAAUCAUAGUAUUGAGUCUAUUAUGUAUUCUCUGUCCUUCUGCUGCUAUCAUUCACUCUUACCAUCAGUUGUCUUCCUUGUUAACCCUCUCCGCCCUCAUCAUGCUCAAUACUCUUUUCUUUCAUUCUCUUCUGUCAUUUUUUUAAUCCAUUGUUUUGAACGAAUAGCUACAUAAUGCCAGACUAGUCUUUCGUCUGACAAAGGAACCUCUCUACAGGUACCAUAAUAAAAAUGCUUCCAGUGUUCUCUGUAAAAUGGUUGUUAUGCAGGAGAUCCGGCUGUGGAAAUCAUGUUGAAAUUUUGUCUGGGUGUUUAUAUACCAGUAGAUUAUGGUUAUGUAAUUGUAGCUGAUCUUAAUAGCAACAGCAUUAUGGAUAAACUGAUAUCCUUAAUGCAUCAUACCUGUUUGAUUUGUUACUAAAUUUAUCCCGAAAUUGUUGGCAGUUGGCACUGCCAACAAUUUUGCCACUUUUCAAGAUGAGGUACAUUAAUUUGAAUUAAUUGAAAUACAAGUAUAAUCAGUAUGAGAUUAUAUUCUUUCCUUCUAUUUCAUUCAAACCAUUUUCAUUGAGAAUAAAGUUCAAAACUAUUUUACUAGUCAAUAUACCAUUGGCUAUGUACCCCAAUACAAUUUAAUGAAUACAUUUACAUAACAGAAUGCAUCUACUAAAAAAAAAAAUACUCGUUAACAGGUGAAGCAAAGGUAAAUACAAGUGUGAAACAUACUGAAAAUUAUGCAUUUCUCACUUUCACAUUAUUUGUAAUAAAAUGAAAGGAACAUGCGAAGUAUCGGCAUCAAACAAAAUACAGUUAUGCCAUAUUUCUGUCGUGAAACUGUCCAAAGCACCUUUUACACAAGGGCACUUUGCAAAACAAACACAUAUAUGGGAUCUCGACCUGAUGUCCUUUUGCAGUUUUUCUAUCUUGCUUCCAUUUUAUGAAAGUUAAUAUUUUCUCUGACAUCCACCUCAGUUAAUGUUGCCUUUCUUCUAGUUCUGUGCUUUCUGGAAGAAAAGCUUUCAUGUAACUAGAGAUGUGAUGUCAACCUGAAAUAACUAGUUAGACAUAAUACUGGAAACAUGGAUCACCAUACUUUAUAUCAGGGUACCAGUAGUUCCACAGUUGAGGUGGCUGCUUGAUACCAAACAUAAUGUUUAUAGUAAAAAAAAAAAAAAAAAAAAAUUUCACAUUUCUGCAGUAUCAGUUGGCUGCCAUAGCGGAUUUGGUCUUCCAUGAACAGGAGUUGUGCAUUGAGCAUUUGUUUCCUCCACAACAGUUUCAGAAAAAACUUUUCGGUAAAAUUAUAAAAAGUAGUCCAGUGGUUGAGCAUCGAGAAGUUGACUGUAUUACGAACUAGUCUUUUCUGUGAAAUUGGGAAUUCUUGUUGAUGUAGUAAUCUUCAACCAUGUUGCCAUAAUGUUUUUGAUGUCACUUUCAUUAUCAAAAUCUUCCUCGUCUGAUGAAGAUUCAUGAAUUUCAAUAUGAUAUAUCCAAAGACAAAUCAUUGUUGCUUUCAUUUAUAUUUUGUACAUCGAGAGUAAAACCUUCAAAGUUAGGAUUGCUACUUGUUGGUGCUAUAUCAUUAAAAACUAAGAUAGACUCUUCUCUUCAAACGUUAAAAAAAACAAGGAGUUUCAAAUUAAACGUAUUUUUACUUAAAUGAAGGCAGGGAAAGGAUUCGUCUUGCAUUAUCUCAAAGCUAUGAGGAUUCAGUGAUGUGAUUUGCUUAUUUUUUAGCAAGUUCAUAGAGAAAUCAAAUACGGCCGGAUUUGGCUGGGUUGAACAGAGGGGAAUGAUUUUCGGACGGUUAGGGCCAGUCUAAACACUAAAGGGUUAGCGUUUGCAAGCAUGAAUGGCAGAACACUAUGGCACUUGGUAAAAACUGAGUAUAACAGGGGUCAGAUUGAUGUGACCUGAUCAUGUGAUGCAUAACAGUUGAGUUAGAAUAUGUUGCAUAAUGCAAGUGAUGGAAGUUGAACUUGACUGUUUACAACCAACAGCUGUAAUAUGUGUGUGUGCUGGGAGAGUUUGUCCUACCCUUGCAAGUAGGAGAUGGUGAUAGUGGUUUGUGCAGUUGAUCAUGACUAUAUGUUUUUUUAUUUUAUUUCUUUCAGAUACAAUGCCAAGAGGAGACAUUGGAGGCGUACUAAGCUGAAGAUGUAAGGAUGGAAAACAAACAUUUACCAUUUUGGUUACAGUUGCUUGUUGGACAUUCUUGGUUUCUCAAACAUUGCCAAAAUAAAUGGACUUCAUAAACCCAUAAUUUGUCUUUUCUUGAUUUCACUCUUACAUUGGUGUG